rnacentral:rRNA from 1 species
GACGAACGCUGGCGGCGUGCUUAACACAUGCAAGUCGAACGGUGAAGCGCCUUCCUUUUUGGUGGGUGUGGAUGAGUGGCGAACGGGUGAGUAACACGUGAGUAACCUGCCCCCUUCUUCUGGAUAACCGCAUGAAAGUGUGGCUAAUACGGGAUAUUCUGGGUCUGUCGCAUGAUGGGUCUGGGAAAGAUAUUGUUUCGGUGGGGGAUGGGCUCGCGGCCUAUCAGCUUGUUGGUGGGGUGAUGGCCUACCAAGGCGGUGACGGGUAGCCGGCCUGAGAGGGUGGACGGUCACGCUGGGACUGAGGCCCGGCCCAGACUCCUACGGGAGGCAGCAGUGGGGAAUAGUGCACAAUGGGCGCAAGCCUGAUGCAGCGACGCCGCGUGAGGGAUGGAGGCCUUCGGGUUGUGAACCUCUUUCGCCAGUGAAGCAGGCCUGCCUCGUUUGUGGGUGGGUUGACGGUAGCUGGAUAAGAAGCGCCGGCUAACUACGUG